rnacentral:lncRNA from 1 species
UCUUUGUAAAAGACACAGUGGAAACCCGUGUCACCAGGUGACUUAUCUAAUUUCACCUGUUUCCCCAGAAGUUGGUUCAAGAAUGGAAAUAUCAGCACCAGCUGGCCUUGCUCUACCCCCUCUCCCACCUUUUCAUCCAGCAGAACUUCAUCCUUGCCUUCAGCAAGGCAGCUGAAGCCACUAGAGGUUUUGUAAUAAACCUUGCCAGGCUUGUGGAUCUGUCAGCAAAAGGAAGUUGGAUUUAUGCUGGGUGACAUGUGCUGUGGUGGUUUCCUGUCUGGAGCAUCUUCACUGUGUCAAGAACUUUGCUGAAGAACUGGCACUCUUCACCUUCCGUCCAUAUGAAUUAAUGAGGUUCAUCUCUGUCUGCAGCCUGUUGGAAGUGCAGCAGCUGUUGGGAUUUACCCAACAAGCACACACCUUGAGGAUCAGAGAAACGUUUGUACACUAGUAAUUUCCCUAUACAGGUUCAAUCCACCUUUAUGUUAUGCUCUCA